AAAAGCAGAAGUAGAACCUCCAGCACAACAAGCAAGGAUGCAGCAAGUGGUUUCUGGAUGAUAAGUCAACAACAAAAUACUUGUCUUUUCUAGCAGCCAUUGUACAGUGCACGAGGUUGCUAGGUAACGGGGCAGUGCCUAUUGAUUGUCGCUCAACAAUUGGGACGUUUUUGAAACAGCUAGUUUUCCAGACACCAAAAAAGCAUCAACUCAUCACCAAAAACUGUUUUUAGAAGCAGUUGAGACCCAAAAGGAAGUUAAAAAAAAUUUGCCAUAUAUGAUUUUUGUAUUAUAGGUCCCCUUUACAGGUCUCCUCCUUCAGAUAGAAAAUAUAACCAGUAAUAUUGUCACAUUUCAAGAUGGAUUUUUCUGCAGUAAGACCAGCUGACCAAAAGUGCUGGAACUCUGCUUGGGUUGCUAGGUGAUGGGUUUAGCUUCCUAAGUGAGAGGCAGUCCUUGCUGACAUUUACAUUACAUUCCAUUUGGAAGGCUAAUCCUUCCAGGAUAUUGUUUUUGGUGUUUGGACAGUUUGUCAAGGCAGUAGAGACCCAAACAGAAGUACUACAACGUGCAAAAUGUGAAUUUUGCAUAAUAGAUCCCAGUUAUUUUAUUUGGAAUUUAGGUGAUAACUCAAAACAAAGAGCCAUUUUUGUUCUCAGUUCAGCCAAAUAAAACUUACUUAGGGCUGCAAAUGUUAAAUUAAGUAUUGAAAAACAGACAGUUGUCAUUUUUGAUUAAUAUUUACAACAGGCAGGCUACUUUGUUUCAAUUUGUAAAUAAUUUAUUUCUUUUUCCAGCAGCCAUUGUACAGCAAGUAGGUAGAGUAUCCAGAAGUUUUUCUCAAGUAAGAGUAGAGAUACUUCAUAAUACAUUUACUCAAGCGUAGUGAAAAUACUCAAAGUAAUUUCUUUCAAUGUAACUGAGUCGAUGUUAAGUAGUUACUACUCACCUCUGUAUAAUUAGCAGAUUAUUGCAAGAAACUGACAUUAAAACUACAGGAUUUAUUUCUGGUGUCGAUUUUACUCUUCAAUGCACCAAACAUAGUUUAUAUUGCAAUUAUAAGAAUUUGUUAAGAAAUAUUUCAAAUAAAGCCAAACAGGAUUGAUAAAAGAUCAUUAUAAACCAUUGGACUGUAUCAGCUGUAUGACUUAUAGCUUCUGUUGAAUCACUUAUUUGACACCUCUGAAAAAUUACCAUCAAUCAGAAAAGCACUGCCAGGCUUUUAGAAAUCAUGAGUCAUCUGUGAUGACUCACUUCACGGCGUAGACAGAAAUAGUCAGGAGAGUUUUCAGAUAAUUUGCAGCACACACAUAAAAGCAUCCAUUAUGAAUUCCUACGUGUGAUGUUUGAAGGCUUCUUCUUCCCUCCUGCAGUGAUGCUCCAGAUCCAGAGGAGAAACUGCAGCUCCACCAGAGAUUUUAGAAAGACAGGAAGCAACUUUCAAAAGAUUUUUGUUGGCUGUGCCUUCACAUGCCGUCGCCGUGCCGCCUUGAAGAGCGUUGAAAAGGAAGAAGUAUUUCUUUUGGCUCAUCUUCAUGGAAGCGCAGAGUCUCAUCUUUUCCCUUUACAGAAUGUUCCAGCUGGUCGGAGCCACAGGCACCAGAGAUGGUUUCAUGUUUCAUUUCUGUGUCUCUGGUGUGGUUUGCUUCUCCAUAGCGGAUGUUCUCCGAGAUUUUAUACAUGCGGCGACGUUAAACUGUGUUGAUUCCCUGGAAGACAAAGAAAUACGAUGACUGGACUUUUGUAGUCGCUCACAUGUCGCUUGGUACUUUACUCUCAAAAAGCCCGACACAUUUUUAAAAAGGCAACCAAGUAAAUUUGAAUAUUCAUCGUGAUUUUCAGAUUUUUGUUGGCCUGUUGUUUAAAUUACAACUACAGUUUGUGGUUGUUAGAUUGAUAAAGUAAAACGUUAAUGGGAGGUAAUAGUUUUACAAGUCAUUGGAAUUAUCAUAAUUUAAAUGACUUUUUUCUUAGAUUUGACUUUUUUUUAUUUAAGCUUUUAGUCGUUCGUUAUGUUGCUACAUUUAUUAUUCUCGUGUUUGUUUAUAUUCUCUAUUUUUACCUCGUUUCUGUCUUCCUGUAAGCAACGUGUUGGUGUGCAUUACCGCCACCUACUGGAAUGGAGUAUAAAUUUUAAAUAUUAAAUAUAUUACACAGAUUUAGAAACUAAGCAAACAAAGGAUGUAUAUUCUCCAAUAAUUUUGUCUUCUGAAGAUACUAGAACUAGAAGGAUUCAGAAGUAGAAAGUUUAAAGGUCUUGUAUAUUAAGCUGCUACGCUCCAGUUACCUUCUCUCCACUGAAUAUUUGGAGCAGAUUAAAAUAUGUCAGGUUUCUGUGUUUUGCUAAUGUUUCCCAAUUUUCUGCUCCAUCUCAGCUGCUUCUCAUCAGUUCAUCAACUCACCUGUUCUCCAUCCAGUUCAUUUUAAGCUGUCACUCUGUUUUUCAUGCCUUUCUUUCUAGUUUCUCUUAUUUUUAAAAUCUUUUUUAUUGAACUUACAAGCUACAACUUGUGUAGCCUGUCGCACUCAUUGUGCCUUGCUGAGGGAAAGUUAAAAGGUAAGAAUUGAAUUAUCUGUAUUUAUUUUAUUAAUCUCAUCUUAUAUGUUUAACUUCCUCCUACCAUAAAGCAUAACCAUAUAAAUGAGACAAAGAUAAUUAAAUCUGAUUUAAAAUUAGCUUAGGUCUAGUGCCAUGGCCUCGUUUGUUUCCUGAAAUUAAGUUACAAGUACAAUAGUGUUUGAAUAACGUAAUUUUUUUACAUUGUGCUACUUAUAAUAGUUGCCAUUCAAUAACUCUUCAUGAUAUAGCAUUUUUAAUAUUUAAAUGAUACAAAUAGAGUCCCGACCACUUUUUUGAUCACAUGACUCACAAAGUAGGAAACAUUUUCGGAAAAAAAACGAGAGGUACAGUAAGUAUCAGCUUUUAUUUUAACCUUUUUUCUGUGUUGUAGAACGAUUCAUUGAUGAAGCAUAACAUGUCCACUCUGUUACCUUUAUUUAUAUUGAAAGCUAACACUUUUUGCAGUUUUAAAAAGGUAUUAGUAGUAAAUGCAUUAAAAAUCUUUCUCAGAGAUUCUCAAAGUGGGAGAUUAAUUUUUAUUAUAGGACUGGAAAUGUCUGACUUUAUCUGAAAAUGAGAAGGUCAGAAAAGUUUUUUUCCUAAUAAAAUUCUUGCUUACCGCCAUUUAUUGAUAAAUCCAUCCGUCAUUUACAGUUUAUCAGGCAAUAUUAAUGUGUCACCUUUCGUCCAAACUGUCAUUAUUUUUAACCUUUAAGCUAUUUUUAUGGCUUAAAUGAAGGAACUGCUUCCUUGCAAAAUAAAUUAUUUUAUUGCAUUAUUUUUCCACAAGAUGGCAGACUGGAGUAAGCCCAAUUUUUUUUUUUUUCCAUCCCCCAAGAGAUUCCAUUAAGCAAAAAUAAAUUUGCAUGACAACUUAAAUUACACAAGCACAAUAGUUUAAUAUAAAACCUGCAUUGAUCUUAUUCCUCAUCCUGCAUGCAUACAGAAACGGGCGGAUUUAGCAUCACAAACACUCUCUAUGAAAAAUGCAUCACACUGUGACGGCUGAUGAAAAAUUAAGACUCAUAUUUGUUAAUUUCACCAAGACACUUGCUGAGAUGCUUGCAAACAAGCCGGUAAGGCAGAGUUCAGCGCUAUAGUCUUUAUAACAAACAUGAGUGCAGAUUUACGAACAGGUCAAAGGUCAACUGAAGCAACUGGGCCACAACAGCCUGCAGGGACCGGAUUAUUCCCUUCUCCUCUCCCUGCACUCAUAUUGUCACCGUUCACUCUGCCUGCCACACUUUGCAGCCGCGGCUUGGAUGCUAAAAGAUUUCACUUGUUCCUUUUAAACUUUCCAUUCUGCAAGCUUUAAGCGGCUGCAAUUGAACCGUCUUCAGCUUUAAAUGUAAACUAUCUCUGACAGAAUCUGACUUGAGCCAAAUCCUGGGCACUUUGAAAACAAUGUUCCAGUUUUUACAGUUCUUUGCAAAAGUUUUUAUAAUAACUUUAGGAUUCAAACUCACACGAGUGCGUAGAGGUAAGGGGAGCUCGAUGUCUUAAGUGUGGCAGGAAUUUGUAUUCAAGUACUUUUGCUCCAAAAACAGAAUUUAUCCUUGACCUUUAUGAUCUUCAUGAUGCUGUUUGUUCACUAAAAUUGUCUGACAAACCUUGAGGCCUUCAAAAACAGCUGAAUUUACACCGAGUUGGACUCUUACUUCUGAGAGCAGCAUAAAGUUUAUUUUUUCAUAUCUGAAUGUAAAGGGCUGAACAAAAAUGCAUGACAUUUUGCAUAUUUUUAUUUUGUUGCAAAAAAAUUAAAAGCAUGUCUCAGUUUCUUCCCACUUUCCAACUGUCCUCUAAUUUGUGUUGGUGUACCAUCUUAAAAGUGACCUUUUACACAAAAUUCACGUUUUGCAUGUUUUUACUCUUCCAGUUGACUGGAAGUGACUGUACUCUCAGCUGAUUCAGGGGGGGGGAAAUACAGCGCUUAAAAAAAAUAAAAAAGAAGAAAAUCCACCCAGCCAUCUUUUGGCAACAUGUUUUGGUGUCCGGAAAACGAGCCGUUUCAAAACCCUCCUGGUUGUACUAUGCCGUUGCCUAGCAACCCCAGCUGAGCCCAACCUGUCACCUAGCAACCCAAGCGGAGUUCCAGCACGUUGGGUCAGCUGUGCAAUGGCUACUAGAAAAGACAAAUAUUUCAUUGUUGACUUACUAUUUAGAAACCUCCUGCUGUUUGUGCAGGAGGCUCUACUUUUGCUUUUCAAAGAUGUAUGGUUGUAUAAUUGCACAUCUGUUUGCAUGUGUGAACGUAAACAUUGAGUUGGGGGGGGGGGGGGAUGUAGCCAGCAGCAGCUUAUUUGGAUUUAAAGUGACACAGCGACCUACAGCAGCUCAUUCUGAAAGAUGAGCUGCUUUAGGAAAUCAAAAUAGGAAAAACUGAACAGACUAAAAUCUCAUCUACAAAUAAUUUUGUGCAUAAAAAACUUUAUAUAUUUUGUGUAGCCCACUUAUCCUAACCUGGUCAAGGAAGCAUAAUAAGUCACCUUUUUAAAUAGUUGUAAUGCAUAAAAGCUUGUCAUUGUAAAGAUGAAGAGAAUAUAUUUUUGUACAUUUCUUGUCCUUGAAUAUUUUCUUCCCACUAAAUCUGAGCCUAGAGGAAGCAACAGACCAAUCAGCUGAAAAUAUAAAACUGCCUUUGAUUCAUGAAUCCUCAUGCACAGCAGGGGAGCUGAACCUCUCUGCUCCUCUGACAUUUCUCCUUACAAUCCUGACAGCUUGAUGUACUGCCGACUUAGCACUCUGUUUCUGUUGGUGCUGCACUAUUCAUGGUAGGAAGUUGGGAUUUGCAAAUGAAUGAGAAACACCACAUGCAUAUUUAAGUAAAACGAGACGGCAUAUUUUAAAAGUUGCAAGUUUAGUGAUGUCCCACUGGUGGAUAUAUUUAGCCUGGUUUUGCAGUUUGAAGGUGUUUUGCAUCUUCACUUUUUUUGCUCCACAAGGUAAAAUUAAAUACAAUAUUACAGAGUCAGACAUGGAAGAACGGUGGCGCCGCGCUAGUGGGGGCGCCAAAACAAUGCUGCUAAAAAUAUUUCUAGUCUGCAUUUUCUGUAUUUAAAGUAACCUUUUUAUAUAACUUUUAAAAUUUUUUUUACAUCCAUUCCAACUAUCACCAUGUUGUCAGACAAUCUGCGUGAAGAUUGAGCUCCUUCACCUCCUGCUUUGCUUUCUGAAGAAAGGCAUUUCUGGCCAAAAACAACCAAUCAGAGCCAGGAGGUGGGCCUUAAUGCUAUCAGUCAUCCUCAUGAACGUGCUGCUAAAUGUGCGAAUGGUGGAGAAAUGACCCACUGUUGAAGGAAUGCUGUUUAUCUGCAAUCAUGAGUGGCGCAAAUGCUAACUAGCUUUAGCACUCAGUAAAGGCGGGAAAGUGAGCGUGAUUGACAGCGCUAGGACCCGCCUCCUGGCUCUGAUUGGUUGUCUAUAGUUAGCACUGGAAGAAGGCAGAGGCAGUUUUUUUGUUUUGGUUGUUUUACAUAUAUUACUGUCAGAACAUAGUGACAAUAAAUAUGUUAGAAAAAAAAUGUAAACGUUACUUACUGCCGUUUUAACAUCUGUUUGUCCUUUGAAAUCCCCGAUAGGUUGUGGUUUAUAAUUUGUCUGCAUUCAGCUCAGAAAGUACUUACACAAACUGAGAUUCUGAUCUGUCUGCCUCAAGUCAAAAAAAAAAAAAAAAUAAAAUCACUUUGAGAUGUAAAUCUGACCUGAA